rnacentral:rRNA from 1 species
AGCAGCCGCGGUAAUUCCAGCUCCAAUAGCGUAUAUUAAAGUUGUUGCAGUUAAAAAGCUCGUAGUUGAAUUUCGGGGUUAGUAGGUUGGUCAUGCCUCUGGUAUGUACUGGUCUCACUGAUUCCUCCUCCCUGAUGAACCGUAAUGCCAUUAAUUUGGUGUUGCGGGGAUUUGGACUGUUACUUUGAAAAAAUUGAGUGUUUAAAGCAGGCUAACGCUUGAAUACAUUAGCAUGGAAUAAUGAAAUAGGACGUUUGAUUCUAUUUUGUUGGUUUCUAGGAUCGACGUAAUGAUUAAUAGGGAUAGUUGGGGCAUUAGUAUUCAAUUGUCAGAGGUGAAA